rnacentral:misc_RNA from 1 species
GAAAUGCGAUAAGUAAUGUGAAUUGCAGAAUUCAGUGAAUCAUCGAAUCUUUGAACGCACAUUGCGCUCGCCAGUAUUCUGGCGAGCAUGCCUGUUCGAGCGUCAUUUCAACCAUCAAGCUCUGCUUGCGUUGGGGAUCCGCGGCUGCCCGCGGUCCCUCAAAAACAGUGGCGGGCUCGCUAGUCACACCGAGCGUAGUAACUCUACAUCGCUAUGGUCGUGCGGCGGGUUCUUGCCGUAAAACCCCCAAUUUCUAAGGUUGACCUCGGAUCAGGUAGGAAUACCCGCUGAACCUAAGC